ACCCUGCAGGAAGAAAGGGAGGCCCAGUCAAGGAAGAACUGUGGCUGACCUCUCAGGACUCAGUGGUCAGCAGCAUGGGCUUGGAGUGUCAAUGACAAGGGACCAACGCUCAACGGUUCAGCUUUUCUCCCGGUGGGAAGACACUCGGGAGUUUUUGCAAGCCCCGGAUUGUAUGUGCUCAUUGGGCAAACAAACACUGAGUCUUUGCCUCAGAUGAAAAUGGUUCUGGACCAAUAAGCGUGGGGAGAGCCGGAAGCCUGCAUCCCAUCUGAAUACGAUUUGGACACAAGUGGUUAAAGUUCUUCCAGUGAUGGCUUUCGUUAUCUAUAAAAUUAAGACUAAGCCAGAGAUCAAGGAAUUUCAACUGGAAGCCAUAUCCUGUCUCCAGUCUCCCAUCUUGGUGUGAUUUAACCAUGUGAGUCUGAUUCAAUGACAAUCACGGCAUUGUCUACAAUACUGACAAGGUCGGAGACCACACAGUGGAACCUUGGCAUAGCAUAGUAUGAAUUGUACAGCAACUUAAGAGGAAUGCUAAAGAAGAAUGGCUAAAAUAUUCACAAUAUAUGAAAUUUAAAAGCUUUUGGUUGUUAUGACAACACUCAAGAAAAUCAACUGGAAAGAGAAAAAGAAAAAGUCCCAGUAGAGACUUUGAAACCCCUGCUCCUGGCCAAGGCACCGAAAACUGUAUUUCCAAUCAGGAAGAAUAGCAGAGAUGGGUGUCAUCAUAAGGCUCCGGACCCUGGUCUCCUGCUCUCCCCAUGUAAUUCACAUACUUAAUCCCUUCAA